GGGCUGGACUGCUGACUACACAUGCAGUCGAGCGGUAACAGGAAAGUGCCUUGCAGCUUUUGCUGACGAGCGGCGGAAGGGGGAGUAAUGUCUGGGGAUCUGCCCGAGGGCGGGGGAUAACCACUGGAAACGGUGGCUAAUACCGCAUAAUGUCGCGAGACCAAAGUGGGGGACCUGAAAGGGCCUCACGCCGUCGGAUGAACCCAGAUGGGAUUAGCUGGUAGGUAGGGUAAUGGCCGGGGGGAGGCGACGAUCUCUAGCUGGUCUGAGAGGAUGACCAGCCACACUGGGACUGAGACACGGCCCAGACUCCUACGGGAGGCAGCAGUGGGGAAUAUUGCACAAUGGGCGCAAGCCUGAUGCAGCCAUGCCGCGUGUAUGAAGAAGGCCUUCGGGUUGUAAAGUACUUUCAGCGGGGAGGAAGGGUUUAGCCUGAAGAGGGUUGUUUUUUUGACGUUACCCGCAGAAGAAGCACCGGCGGACGGCGUGCCAGCAGCCGCGGUAAUACGGAGGGUGCAAGCGUUUAUCAGAAUGACUGGGCGUAAGGCGCACGCAUGCGGUCAAUUAAGUUAGAUGUGAAAUCCCCGGGCUCCCCCCU
rnacentral:rRNA from 1 species